rnacentral:piRNA from 1 species
UCCUAUGUGGGCUAAACUUUGAUCCAAAUC